GUAUCAGUGGAGCUGUCACAUCUAUAGGCUCAAAGAAAUGAGGAAUGUGAUGGCUAUUGUUACCUGAACUUGGAAGGAAGAAGUCAUGUAGGAGAAGAGUAGUGAUACAGUUAGCCUAAGGCCAAAAGGGAAUGAAUGCUGUGACCUCAUGCUCCUCUCCUCUGGUGUCAUGCAGGGGUUCCCAGUGGCCAAAUCCAACCAGCAGCCAUGGGAUCUAGAAGCCCAGUGGUAUAGUCCAUAUAGGUUGGUCUCCACCAGCAAAGAACAGAGCAGAGAAACGUCAGAAAAAAUGAUGACAAUACACGCACACAAAAAGAAAGGAGGAAGAGAAAAAAAAAGGCAGCCAAAAGGCAUUUAUUUUGUAGUAACAAGCAUCUGACAUCUCUCAUUAGAAGAAUUCACUCGCAAAUCCGAAGGCACUAAGAUCCUGAAAAUGUCUUUUCCUCUUCACAUUACACACAAGGAAACCAGACUGUGAACAUAACAAUGAGUUACUUGAAAAUUA
rnacentral:lncRNA from 1 species